rnacentral:rRNA from 1 species
GAUGAACGCUGGCGGCGUGCCUAAUACAUGCAAGUCGAGCGAACGGACGAGAAGCUUGCUUCUCUGAUGUUAGCGGCGGACGGGUGAGUAACACGUGGAUAACCUACCUAUAAGACUGGGAUGACUUCGGGAAACCGGAGCUAAUACCGGAUAAUAUUUUGAACCGCAUGGUUCAAAAGUGAAAGACGGUCUUGCUGUCACUUAUAGAUGGAUCCGCGCUGCAUUAGCUAGUUGGUAAGGUAACGGCUUACCAAGGCAACGAUGCGUAGCCGACCUGAGAGGGUGAUCGGCCACACUGGAACUGAGACACGGUCCAGACUCCUACGGGAGGCAGCAGUAGGGAAUCUUCCGCAAUGGGCGAAAGCCUGACGGAGCAACGCCGCGUGAGUGAUGAAGGUCUUCGGAUCGUAAAACUCUGUUAUUAGGGAAGAACAAAUGUGUAAGUAACUGUGCACAUCUUGACGGUACCUAAUCAGAAAGCCACGGCUAACUACGUG